rnacentral:tRNA from 1 species
GGACGUGUGGCCCAAUGGCAAGGCGCUUGACUACGAUUCUCGGAGACUAUCAAGAGAUUCCAGGUUCGACCCCUGGCACGUUCA